AUUCGCAGUAUCGUGGUUGCAUUCGUUGUGGGCAUUGUUAAUGUUUUCAAACACCUAAAGGCUGACCAGGUUUUCAAGAUGGCUCUCAAAAAGGAGUGUACUACAAGGUGCAGGCGAAAAUCAUCGCUUAUGCUGUUAGAUAGUAGCAACUGACUCGCUUCCUGUCGGUCACUCUCUUCUAAAUACAAUUUGAAUUUUGACGAGGUAAUGCAGGUUCAUUUCAAGGAUUCUAGAAAUUGUACCAGUUCCAGUCUGGAUCCAGCCUAACUUGUGAACACCACAGAAGACAUCAAAGCUACAGAGUUUAAAUAACUAGAACUGGACAAACAGAAUUGGCAAAAAUCAAAGCAAACACCACUACAUUACUAUAUUAUUAUUAAAACAAUAAAAAUAUAAAAGAGAUAGAUGGACUUGGUGAGAUUUACCUGUUUUGUGAUGAUUUUGUUUAGCUGUAGAUUUAAAUAUCCAUUGAGGAAAAAUGU